AACGCAGGUGUCCUAAGAUG
rnacentral:snRNA from 1 species